CAUUAGAUGGCUGAAAGUAAGUGCUGAUCUCUUAAAUCAUUUUAUAGUAUAAUAACAAAUACUUCUAAUGG
rnacentral:tRNA from 1 species